CACCACUCAAGCCUGGCUUGGUGUUGGGCGACGUCCCCUUCAGGGACGCGCCUCGAAACGCUCGGCGGCGUGGCACCGGCUUUAAGCGUAGCAGAAUCUUUCGCUUCAAAAGUCGGGGCCCCGUCUGCCGGAAGACCUACUCGCAAGG
rnacentral:misc_RNA from 1 species